AAGCAUUCAUGACCAGACUUGGGCUUGGUUGAACAUCCGGCGUUCUCGCCGGUGCACUCUGCCAGUCCAGGCCAGCAUCAGUUUGCCCCGGGGGAUAAAGGCGGCGGGAAUGUGGCUCCCUUCGGGGAGUGUUAUAGCCCGUCGUGUAAUGCCCUGGGGCGGACUGAGGAACGCGCUUCGGCACGGAUGCUGGCGUAAUGGUCAUCAAUGA
rnacentral:rRNA from 1 species